GGGCCCGUGGUCUAGUCUGGUAGGACUCUUACAACGAGCCUAAAGCCGCCCUCACACGGCGGAGGUCGCCGGUCCGAGUCCGGCCGGGCCCACCA
rnacentral:tRNA from 1 species